GCUCUGUUCAGCUCACAGUCAUCAUUAUAGUUUUGUUUUCAUCUGCGUUACGAUCAUGAUUAGACUCCUUGUACAUUUAGCAGCUCUGCCGUUCUGUUUAACAGAACUGUCAAAGAACAGUGUUCAUCAGACUCCCACUGCCCUGAUCACACAUCCUGAAGAAGAAGUCCAGAUGAACUGCAGCCAUUCAAACAGUGACUUUGAUAUGAUCCAGUGGUAUAAACGGUCUGCUGGCAAAAAUGAUAUGGUCCUAGUUGGCUAUGUACGAUUCACUUCUUUAGUUGUUGAACCUAAAUUCAUAGAAACUUAUAAUGUGAGUGGUGUUGGGGGAAGUCUGGCAAGUCUUCAUAUUCCAAAGCCGAGUCGAUCCGAGGACGGAGCAGUGUAUUUCUGUGCUGCCAG